GACGAACGCUUGCGGCGUGCUUAACACAUGCAAGUCGAACGGAAAGGCCCUGCUUUUGUGGGGUGCUCGAGUGGCGAACGGGUGAGUAACACGUGAGUAACCUGCCCUUGACUUUGGGAUAACUUCAGGAAACUGGGGCUAAUACCGGAUAGGAGCUCCUGCUGCAUGGUGGGGGUUGGAAAGUUUCGGCGGUUGGGGAUGGACUCGCGGCUUAUCAGCUUGUUGGUGGGGUAGUGGCUUACCAAGGCUUUGACGGGUAGCCGGCCUGAGGGGGUGACCGGCCACAUUGGGACUGAGAUACGGCCCAGACUCCUACGGGAGGCAGCAGUGGGGAAUAUUGCACAAUGGGCGGAAGCCUGAUGCAGCAACACCGCGUGCGGGAUGACGGCCUUCGGGUUGUAAACCGCUUUCGCCUGUGACGAAGCGUGAGUGACGGUAAUGGGUAAAGAAGCACCGGCUAACUACGUGCCAGCAGCCGCGGUGAUACGUAGGGUGCGAGCGUUGUCCGGAUUUAUUGGGCGUAAAGGGCUCGUAGGUGGUUGAUCGCGUCGGAAGUGUAAUCUUGGGGCUUAACCCUGAGCGUGCUUUCGAUACGGGUUGACUUGAGGAAGGUAGGGGAGAAUGGAAUUCCUGGUGGAGCGGUGGAAUGCGCAGAUAUCAGGAGGAACACCAGUGGCGAAGGCGGUUCUCUGGGCCUUUCCUGACGCUGAGGAGCGAAAGCGUGGGGAGCGAACAGGCUUAGAUACCCUGGUAGUCCACGCUGUAAACGGUGGGUACUAGGUGUGGGGUCCAUUCCACGGGUUCCGUGCCGUAGCUAACGCUUUAAGUACCCCGCCUGGGGAGUACGGCCGCAAGGCUAAAACUCAAAGGAAUUGACGGGGCCCCGCACAAGCGGCGGAGCAUGCGGAUUAAUUCGAUGCAACGCGUAGAACCUUACCUGGGUUUGACAUGGAUCGGGAGUGCUCAGAGAUGGGUGUGCCUCUUUUGGGGUCGGUUCACAGGUGGUGCAUGCCUGUCGUCAGCUCGUGUCGUGAGAUGUUGGGUUAAGUCCCGCAACGAGCGCAACCCUUGUUCACUGUUGCCAGCACGUUAUGGUGGGGACUCAGUGGAGACCGCCGGGGUCAACUCGGAGGAAGGUGGGGAUGACGUCAAGUCCUCAUGCCCCUUAUGUCCAGGGCUUCACGCAUGCUACAAUGGCUGGUACAGAGAGUGGCGAGCCUGUGAGGGUGAGCGAAUCUCGGAAAGCCGGUCUCAGUUCGGAUUGGGGUCUGCAACUCGACCUCAUGAAGUCGGAGUCGCUAGUAAUCGCAGAUCAGCAACGCUGCGGUGAAUACGUUCCCGGG
rnacentral:rRNA from 1 species